ACNUGCAGUCGAGCGGAGUUGAUGAGGUGCUUGCACCUUUGAUACUUAGCGGCGGACGGGUGAGUAACACGUGGGUAACCUGCCUAUAAGACUGGGAUAACAUUCGGAAACGAAUGCUAAUACCGGAUACGCGAUAUGGUCGCAUGACUGAAUCGGGAAAGAUGGAGCAAUCUAUCACUUAUAGAUGGACCCGCGGCGCAUUAGCUAGUUGGUGAGGUAACGGCUCACCAAGGCGACGAUGCGUAGCCGACCUGAGAGGGUGAUCGGCCACACUGGGACUGAGACACGGCCCAGACUCCUACGGGAGGCAGCAGUAGGGAAUCUUCCGCAAUGGACGAAAGUCUGACGGAGCAACGCCGCGUGAGUGAUGAAGGUUUUCGGAUCGUAAAGCUCUGUUGCCAGGGAAGAAUGCUUGGGAGAGUAACUGCUCUCAAGGUGACGGUACCUGAGAAGAAAGCCCCGGCUAACUACGUGCCAGCAGCCGCGGUAAUACGUAGGGGGCAAGCGUUGUCCGGAAUUAUUGGGCGUAAAGCGCGCGCAGGCGGCCUUGUAAGUCUGUUGUUUAAACUUGGGGCUCAACCCCAAGUCGCAAUGGAAACUGCAAAGCUUGAGUACAGAAGAGGAAAGUGGAAUUCCACGUGUAGCGGUGAAAUGCGUAGAGAUGUGGAGGAACACCAGUGGCGAAGCGACUUUCUGGGCUGUAACUGACGCUGAGCGCGAAAGCGUGGGGAGCAACAGAUA
rnacentral:rRNA from 1 species